AUGGCAAUGCAAGACCAUCCUUCUCCGUGUGGCCACCACCCCCAAAUCCUCUUGGAUAAAAAAUGUUUAGUGGGCGAGUUGAAAAAUUCCACUACCGCAAAAUCCAAGAAUAGCAAAGGGGUUCACUUGGAGGUUUCUUUUGAAGCAGUUGACCCUCCAGCCAUCUCACUGUGCCUGGUCAGCUGCGUUGAUCAGACCGGGGAUCGCUUGACAGCACCGCCUCGUAUACUUGGUGUAACUGGAGGCUUUGUACUGCUGGCUAUCACCUUCUCGGACAGUGUCAACCGUUACUUGCGGUUCAUCGACUAUUUUGUUUACAAAGCAGGGCCCAAUUUCGCCUCUCUUCAUCUUCUUGCAAGGCCAUACCCGUCUUCUUUUUCGCCAAACAUGGCUGCCAUCUUGCCUGUUAGUGAUAACAGUGAAGACUUUGCUGUCAUUUUCCCACAUGUUGAAUAUUUCAGACUUGAGUCUCGCAAACAUUACACACUCCACAUAUAUCGAUCUGACACGAAUGAUUGGCACUCUCAGGUCGCUUGUAUCGCUGAGGAUAAUGAGACAAGGAAUGCCAGGGAUAAGCUAUUGCUUCAUAAUACCAUGAGCGUGGCAUAUGCAGAAAAGGGUAUCAUAGGUUGGAUUGAUCUCUAG
rnacentral:rRNA from 1 species